rnacentral:rRNA from 1 species
ACGGAGGGUCCAAGCGUUAAUCGGAAUUACUGGGCGUAAAGCGUGCGCAGGCGGAUGCGCAAGACAGCUGUGAAAGCCCCGGGCUUAACCUGGGAAAUGCAUUGGUGAUUGCACGACUUGAGUGUGUAAGAGGGGGGUAGAAUUCCACGUGGAGCAGUGAAAUGCGUAGAGAUGUGGCGGAAGACCGAUGGCGAAGGCAGCUUCCUGGGCUAACACUGACGCUCAUGCACGAAAGCGUGGGGAGCAAACAG